rnacentral:lncRNA from 1 species
GGGGGAAUAUAAGUUAUCCUUCCUAUUGCAGUCCCCUUUUGUCUUGGCGUCCAGAUGACUUCAUCACUGUGGUAUGUAAACCUACUCGGAAAUUCGAUAAAGGUUAGCUCUCUGGCCUCUUCGUAAGUAUCAUUUGCCACAAACCAAGCUGUGAACAUAGUCUUUUCUAUAUUUGGUCUUCGUAAAACGUUAGCUAAAUUGGCUGUUUCCUCAUACAUGAGUCGUUGUUUUCCAGGGAGGUGUAUAUGUAGCUUCAUGACAGACGGCUGAUUAUGAUGGAUGUGGAAUGAAAAGAGUCUCCAGGCUGACUCACAGGCUGAAAGAUAACGACAUUCCAUGAAGUUGUCCACCUCGUUCACUGGCUCAGGUUGAACUUCCUUUUUUCCAUCUGCUUUUCUCUUUUUCCCCGUUUUCCCAACCUGGAUGGUUGCUCUAUCUACACCUUUGGUGAUGUACUUAAAGAGAUAUUUGAUUGCGCUUGUUUUGCAGCACCACUCGACAUUUAUAUGAGCUUUGUAUUUCCUCAGAAGCUGUAGAUUGUGGGGUACAACAUAUUCAUUACCCACCUGUUCAUCACUUUCCACCAUUAGUCCAGAUGUAUUAUCUCUUCUCCUGUACACUACAAACCCGGACUUAUCGAUCAUUGUAUACUCUGUCAGUGGUUUUGGGUAGCUCUUUGUGCACUUCCCGUUCUCCAUACAGGGUGACUUUGGGCGGGCAACUCCGCAAGGGCCGUGCAUCAUAUGGCGCUUCACCAACUCAA